rnacentral:pre_miRNA from 1 species
UUAAUUCAAAUUUGUAUGGAGUUGGAAUGUUUGCCUACGUUUGCGGCUAGGGACGUUGUUCCAACUGCAUUUUUUUACCUA